UGGGGGAUAUUGCACAAUGGGCGAAAGCCUGAUGCAGCGACGCCGCGUGGGGGAUGAAGGCCUUCGGGUUGUAAACUUCUUUUGCUCUGAACAAGGCAUGCCUUUGGGGUGUGUUGAGUGUAGGGGUUGAUUAGCGCCGGCUAACUACGUGCCAGCAGCCGCGGUAAUACGUAGGGCGCGAGCGUUGUCCGGAAUUAUUGGGCGUAAAGGGCUUGUAGGUGGCUGGUUGCGUCUGUCGUGAAAGCUCAUGGCUUAACUGUGGGUUUGCGGUGGGUACGGGCUGGCUUGAGUGCAGUAGGGGAGGCUGGAAUUCCUGGUGUAGCGGUGGAAUGCGCAGAUAUCAGGAGAAAUACCGGUGGCGAAGGCGGGUCUCUGGGCUGUUACUGACGCUGAGGAGCGAAAGCGUGGGGAGCGAACAGG
rnacentral:rRNA from 1 species